AGACGACGAGGUAGAUAGGCUGGGGGUGGAAGUGCAGUAAUGCAUGGAGCUGACCAGUACUAAUCGGUCGAGGGCUUAUCCAA
rnacentral:rRNA from 1 species